rnacentral:rRNA from 1 species
CCUACGGGAGGCAGCAGUGGGGAAUAUUGGGCAAUGGAGGAAACUCUGACCCAGCGACGCCGCGUGCGGGAUGAAGGCCUUCGGGUUGUAAACCGCUUUCAGUAGGGAAGAAGCGAAAGUGACGGUACCUACAGAAGAAGCACCGGCUAACUAUGUGCCAGCAGCCGCGGUAAUACAUAGGGUGCAAGCGUUGUCCGGAAUUAUUGGGCGUAAAGAGCUCGUAGGUGGUUCGUCACGUCGGAUGUGAAAAUCUGGGGCUCAACCCCAGACCUGCAUUCGAUACGGGCGAUCUAGAGUGUGGUAGGGGAGACUGGAAUUCCUGGUGUAGCGGUGGAAUGCGCAGAUAUCAGGAGGAACACCAAUGGCGAAGGCAGGUCUCUGGGCCAUUACUGACACUGAGGAGCGAAAGCGUGGGGAGCGAACAGGAUUAGAUACCCUGGUAGUCCACGCCGUAAACGGUGGGCACUAGUUGUGGGAACCUUCCACGGUUUCUGCGACGCAGCUAACGCAUUAAGUGCCCCGCCUGGGGAGUACGAUCGCAAGAUUAAAACUUAAGGAAUUGACGG